GAUGAACGCUGGCGGCGUGCCUAAUACAUGCAAGUCGAGCGAACGGACGAGAAGCUUGCUUCUCUGAUGUUAGCGGCGGACGGGUGAGUAACACGUGGAUAACCUACCUAUAAGACUGGGAUAACUUCGGGAAACCGGAGCUAAUACCGGAUGAUAUUUUGAACCGCAUGGUUCAAAAGUGAAUGACGGUCUUGCUGUCACUUAUAGAUGGAUCCGCGCUGCAUUAGCUAGUUGGUAAGGUAACGGCUUACCAAGGCAACGAUGCAUAGCCGACCUGAGAGAGUGAUCGGCCACACUGGAACUGAGACACGGUCCAGACUCCUACGGGAGGCAGCAGUAGGGAAUCUUCCGCAAUGGGCGAAAGCCUGACGGAGCAACGCCGCGUGAGUGAUGAAGGUCUUCGGAUCGUAAAACUCUGUUAUUAGGGAAGAACAUAUGUGUAAGUAACUGUGCACAUCUUGACGGUACCUAAUCAGAAAGCCACGGCUAACUACGUG
rnacentral:rRNA from 1 species